UACGGAGGGAGCUAGCGUUGUUCGGAAUUACUGGGCGUAAAGCGCACGUAGGCGGCUUUGUAAGUUAGAGGUGAAAGCCCGGAGCUCAACUCCGGAAUUGCCUUUAAGACUGCAUCGCUUGAAUCCAGGAGGGGUGAGUGGAAUUCCGAGUGUAGAGGUGAAAUUCGUAGAUAUUCGGAAGAACACCAGUGGCGAAGGCGGCUCACUGGACUGGUAUUGACGCUGAGGUGCGAAAGCGUGGGGAGCAAACAGG
rnacentral:rRNA from 1 species